rnacentral:snRNA from 1 species
UUCAGCCCUUUGUCGCUA